CUCAGUUAAAAAAACGAAAAGAAAUAGAAAACAUCAAAAUGAUUAAAAUUUGGAAACAAACGGUGAAAACGUGUUCGGUAAGUCAUUUUAGCUUUUUGUUUCUUAAAAUUUUAAUUAAAAUUUAUGAAAUUUUGAAAACAACAUUUUUUCUCUUUCAAAAUUUUUUUAAUUUAAUUUUCAUUUCAAUUUUGGGGGAACGUUUUCUUCCAUUUUUUCAAUCAUGGCCACCAACAACGAUAAUGAUUUUAACAACAAUGGCGUUGACAAGUCGAGCCCUUUUCUCACCAAGCAUGUCGAUGGAGUUGCUGAGAAAAAUUCCAAAAACCCUCGAAGGAUUCUUCACUGGAGGUAUUGCUCUUCUAUAUCCAUGGAGGUGGUUGGUUCUUCUUCAUCUUCUUUUGCAAUGCAUACUCAUACCAAUUCGCAUAAUUGAAAAGGCCCUGUGAUUUGCUAGCAUCGAUUAUGAGGAAUGAGGAUAAGUAGUUUGUGGAUGUGGGAUUGGAGGGAGCUCUCGAUAUUUAGCAACCAAAUUUGAUUCAAAAUUUCAGGGCAUCACCAUCAAUCCAAGCUCAAAGGGCCAAUUCUCUCGCUUCUGCUCAAGGAUUGGCCAAUAAGGUUUCCCCCUCUCUCUCUCUCUUUAAUUUUUUUGGUUACUAACCAAAUAUGAAAUAUAGAAUUUUUGAUGGAAUUAUGAUAACGAAAUGUCUAAUUAGGUGGCUGAAGGUAAAAGUGAAAGAAAACCAAAUUGCUUUUAACCCCAAAAGAUAAAUCCUGAAAAUUCAGAAAAUGGAAAACGUACCAUGGAUGCUUGUUGCUUUGGAUGAAUUAUGACAGGAAGUUGAUUACCAAUUCAAGAUAGGCAAAUUUUUUUAUGUGGAUUUGAUAACUCCAUUUUUGCAGUUAGCAGCAACAUUGAAAGUUAGCAGUAACAUUGAAAUUUUGAGACUUGAGAUUGGAUGGGAUGGAGGAAGGCCAUGACUAGUGAAAAGCAACAAAAAAAAAUCCAUUUUCUAAGCAAAAUAGGAAGAUGGGUCAUAAAACAUCCCGAACAGUCUUCAACUUCUAAGGAAAAUAGCUUUAGCGGCGGUAAGGUUCGUGGAUGCUUGGGGAAUGUGUAUCGGUGGUGAAUGGAGUCAAGGAGUUGAGAGUUCGAUUUUCGAGGAUGUAGUCUUGUUUUACCUUUUUAUGGUUUUACAUGUAUUUUUCCGCACUUUCUAUGUAACUCCUUUAUUUUAAAUUAUGUUUUGUUUUUAAGACAAUGGGAUUCCAUAUCUUUCUUGAUAUUUUUGUAAGUAACUCUUAUUUUUACAAGUUACCUAAUAAAAUUAUGGUAUUUUCGCAA